UAGUCCACGCCCUAAACGAUGCUUACUCGAUAUUCGGCCGCAAGGUUGAGUGUCCAAGGGAAACCGAUAAGUAAGCCACCUGGGGAGUACGUUCGCAAGAAUGAAACUCAAAGGAAUUGACGGGGGCCCGCACAAGCGGUGGAACAUGUGGUUUAAUUCGAUGAUACGCGAGGAACCUUACCUGGACUUAAAUGUAGAUUGCAUAAGCUAGAGAUAGCUUUUUCUUCGGACCAUCUACAAGGUGCUGCAUGGUUGUCGUCAGCUCGUGCCGUGAGGUGUCGGGUUAAGUCCCAUAACGAGCGCAACCCCUAUCGUUAGUUGCUAACAGGUCAAGCUGAGGACUCUGACGAGACUGCCGGUGUAAACCGCGAGGAAGGUGGGGAUGACGUCAAAUCAGCACGGCCCUUACGUCCAGGGGCUACACACGUGUUACAAUGGCCGGUACAGAGGGGCAGCUACCUGGGCAACAGGGAUGCGAAUCUCGAAAGCCGGGUCUCAGUUCGGGAUCGGGAGU
rnacentral:rRNA from 1 species